GUACAAUACAUGAGAGACAACUUCGAAAUUCAUAGCAAAGUACAUAUGAGAUAACUCAAAAUCUCACUGCUUUAUACAUGACAAAAAAAUCCAAAUAUCCAUAGCACAAUACAUGAUAAAACAAAUAUUCAUUGCACUACAUGACAGACGACCCCAAAAUAAAAAUAAAAAUACAAGCAGACAAUAAAAAAUCGUAGUACAAUACAUGUCAUGGCAGAAUAUCAAAAGUCACAACCUGAC
rnacentral:lncRNA from 1 species